GAUGAACGCUGGCGGCGUGCCUAACACAUGCAAGUCGAGCGAACCGGGGACGGGUGAUGAAUACGUGGAUACCUUCCUAUAAGACUGGGAUCACUUCGGGAACCCGGAUACCAAUCCGAUACUUGUUCAUGGAUCCUCGCUGCAUUAGUUAGUUGGUACGGUAACGGCUUACCAAGGCAACGAUGCAUAGCCGACCUGAGAGGGUGAUCAGCCACACUGGAACUGAGACACGGUCCAGACUCCUACGGGAGGCAGCAGUAGGGAAUCUUCCGCAAUGGGCGAAAGCCUGACGGAGCAACGCCGCGUGAGUGAUGAAGGUCUUCGGAUCGUAAAGCUCUGUUAUUAGGGAAGCGGUACCUAAUCAGAAAGCCACGGCUAACUACGUGCCAGCAGCCGCGGUAAUAC
rnacentral:rRNA from 1 species